ensembl:lncRNA
GCGUUCCAGUGUGAGUACUAAUUAUCAAUUGUUUUACUAUUUGAGCUAAUGUUGUAUUUUCUCUCAGACCCUCUUCUCGGGAAUCGGUAGUGUUUGGCUGAUAUUUGCCUUGCUUGAGUUUAUCAUCUCCAUCUAUCUAUCAUCUUUUGCCUGUAAAGCCACUUCCUGCUGUUAUCCACAGGUUCCGUAUGUUGCACAAGGUUUACCUCCACUGCCCUGUGAUUUUAGGCCCUGUCAUUAACAUAAACCUAAGAGCCCAAAGAUAUCUGUGAUCAGCAACCCUUCCAUGAAUCACCAACCUGCAGAAAUUCCUCCACAAUACAGUGAAAUAUAAAUAAAUAUGAAUAGUAAAAAGGGGUCA